CAGGUUGUCUAAAAAUGACUUAUGACACUACUAACAUAUACUUUACUAAACAAUUUGUCAAAAAUUUCUAGAAAACACUUUAAAUCAAUUUUUCCGUUUUGAUUUAUUUAUUUUAUUUGUCUUGGCAUGGAUUUCCCUAAGACGGAAACCUUCUUUUUUACAUACAGGAUGGACUAGAUUUAAUGUCGAAACUGCAACCGGUGUAACUAAUGAUUCCAGAACAACACUGAUCAAUAGGGCGAUGGACGCUGAAAAUGCAACCGCGUCCCGUAUAUCUUUACAACCAGGAUAGUUUGUAAUAAAAAUUAAGCUAAAUAAUUGUAUGCUUUUUAAUUUAAAUAUACACCGCUGUUCAAAUC